UGAUUGGCGGCAUGCAUCGUCAGGUUUUCGGACGAUGUGGUCAUCACCGAGGCCACUCCAUCAUCCCCCGCCACGGCAGCUCCCCUCCACCAUUUCGGAUGGUGUCCCUGAAGAUGGAUGUAUGGUUUGCCGGGUGGGUGCACGACGACCAUGCGGGUGGCUAGGGCCUGAACCGCGAUUAGAUGGUUGGCGCCAUGCCCUCCUCCACUUGCCCCUGGCUCGACCUUUGGCCGGCCCGUGCGGCUGCAAGGGGCAGCGGGAGCCGGAUGCCCGAACACUAGCCGUCGCUUUAGGUGGGGACGGCGGAAAGUACAUGGAGGCGCGCCUAGAGAACCUAGGGGAGAUGGCGGCGACGGGAUCGCCCAGGGUGGUGCAGGCGAGCUGGGAUUAAGGCGCCGAGAUCAUCCAGGGGAGGCAGCGACGGGGCGGGAAGGUCCGGGUUCGCUCCUCCACGCGAGGCUCCGCCCCUGCCCCAGGAUCUGUAUGCACUCGCCGAGCUCCUUCCGGACGGCCCGAGCGGCUGUGGCUUUGGGGGACUCAUGGACGGCAAGCACGACGAGCUUGGCGAGCGGGAAGAAGGAGGUGGGGGAGGGGAGGAGCAUGGAUGGACGUCAGUUGCCCCCACUGCCACCACAGACCUGCUCUGCUGGAUUUCAAUCGUGGCCCUCUUCCCCUGUGAUUUACUCUUUGAUGGGUGCAUCCCAGACUUUCCCUACAAAUAAGGUGGGACGAAAUCCAACCAUGAGGCCAAGAUUUUCUUUUCGAGAAUGAUGAGGCCAAGAUUUAGAACAGAAAAAGAUAAACAUAAACAAUCAGGGGAAGGUUAGCAAGAAUUUUGGAUCCAAUAAUACUUAACAUUUUUUCAGUUUUUAGUUCUUUCUCUGGAUAUUGGGCUAUAUUCUUUUCUAUGGGUAAUUCUGAAUUUGGUUUCAGUUACUUAAGGAAAAAUGUACAUUACCUGUAGAUUGUAUCAAAAUAGCAAACCGUAACAUAUGUUUAUGAAAGCUAAUGCAACACGUACACGAUUUAAGCUAGGAGACACUUUCCUGCCUACAUAUUUCUUCCACAAGAAAAGAACGAUUUCGAGCAUUUGUUUAUUAUUUGUUGACACAUAGCAUCAGUUGAUGAAAGAUGCACACAAUUUUUUUUAGAUGUAUUUAUUAACCUGGCUGCCAAGCAUUUUUUCCAUACCCUUUUACACUCUUUAUUUUCAGUCAAGAGCUAGAUCAAACUAUUAUCUAAUCAAGUCAAUUUUACUUAGGUAGGGCUUGCAGUUGGAAACUGUGCCUGCGAGGGUGCUAGGAGGUCAUGGGAAGCAUGCCAGCAAUGCUGUCAGUCGAAUGUCCAAGCAAGCACUGAUGCCAUCUGUGUCUGCAUCUUGCAGGGGACAACUUGCACCUCAGGCCCUCAGCUGCGUCCCACAAGCCAUCUAACAUCCUAAUUUACGGCUACUUUCUUACUUAUCCUGACCUAUCGUGUUUUCUGAUGGCGUCCCAAUUGGUACUACUGCAUUGGCUCGCGAGAGAGACAACUAACACAGAGCCUUCUAAGGUUGUGAACAUGAAAGUAAUCUUUGCUACUGCUGCACUUGCCGGCGAGCCAUGAACAAGUACGUAACAUUGCUAUUAUGUCUCGAAGUUGAAAUUUGGGUUGCACUUCUACCUAUGAUGGACCAAUUCUUUGGCACUAUUGUGCUUCUAAGUUGAAAAACUAUUUUGAGAACCUGCAAUUCCCAAUGUGCAUGUCAUAUAUGUACUAUAGGCUAAUAUUUAUGUCAUGAAAAAUGGAAGUGGUCUAGGCAAAUAGGAUUUUGUCCCACUGAUUAUCUUCUGUUCCAUAAAAACAUCGCUGGUUUUCCUAAAUAAUGCAAAAUAGAUUGAUUUUUGUUAAGCAGCUGUAACCCUUAGGACAUGAUGGAUAUAUUUUCUCACUGCAUAUCUUAUCUAGGAUGAAAAUUAAAGGCUGCUUGGGUGAAGUUCAAACUGUAUAUUGAUAUGCUUGUGUUGUCUUUGAUUUAUCGCCAUUCUUCUAUUUCCACCGAUUGUACUGCUUCAAUUCGAAGAUACAUUGAUCCAUUUUUACCUUAAAAAUGGGCACUAUCUUGGGAUGUACUCAGGAAAAGUAGACUGAAGGAUAUAGUUGUAGGAUUGUCAUGGGCUUUCAGUACUUCUGCCGGAUUUUCAACAAAGAAGACCUAAUUGUGUUCAGCUGACCCACUCCCAUUUUGGGAUGUGUGUGCAUCAAUAUUGAAAGAGUGGACCAAAUUUGGUCAACUAUCUUAGAAUGAACCCAGUUCAGAAACUCCAGCAUUCCAUGCUUUACUCGGUACUAGAUGCCAGCUGUAUAGUGACGUCUGUUUGAUCAAGCAAUAUGUUCUCUUAGGAGUCGCAUGACUUUAUUAACUGAACAAUAAGGCACCUACAUCGCCUGAACUGAACUGACAAGAUAGACUUUUGAUGAAAUUGCACAUUGCAUAAGAGUUUUUCAGUGUCAUCAUCUCCAGCUCCACUUUACAUAUCUUCAUCUCAUCUUCGUAUUAUGAGAGUGAGAGGUCAUAAUAUUAUGCAUAAAUACUUCAAUAGAAUUUGUGAGUUACUCAUGAUUCAUCACUUUAUUCUUCUGAUUUUUUCCCGUUUUGCGACCUUUGAUUGACUUUUGUGUUACUAGAUAUGACAAUUUCGCUGAUUCAGAGCUUGCCUACUAGGACAUGCACAACUAUAUUCUGAAGAGUAUGGUACAAGCCAAGGUGGGUCAUUUUGAGCAAUCAUGUUCAGUCUGCCUUGACAAAUGGCCGUUGCAUCGUUUGCGGCACUUCUUGAUGGGAUCAGAGUGGCGACAGCAAAAAGAUCAAUAGUGGAUCCGUUGUUGGAGGAUGGAAAUAUCAUGUGUGUGUUCAACGACUUGGAAGGGAAGCUUGGGUACUGAUGAGCUGAGUUGAGAUGCGGAAGCAGCCUAGGUACUCAUGAGCUGAGCUGAGCUGAGAUGCAGAAAGACAAUCUUAGAACUAGGGCCAAGAGGUGUAUAUAAAGGGAACCAACAGAUAGAUUUGUAGCAUUUUUGGCUUCCUCUUUUCAUGCCCAAAAAUGUUCACAUGCGAUAUUAACAUGUGAUGCCAUUUCCAACAGAAAAGUUUCAUUGCAAUUAGGUUGAUUUUAACAUGU